rnacentral:rRNA from 1 species
ACACGUAUGAAAGACAAGCUGAAAGACUUUUCUCAAUGAUGUAAGUGGUGGUGCAUGGUCGUUCUUAGUUCGUGGAUUGAUCUGUCUGGUCUAUUCCGAUAACGAGCGAGACCCCAACGUUCCUAAUAGGGGGAAUUGCCCGGUUAGCCGCAAGGUUGACUAGCAGCUCCUUAAGAUACUUCUUAGACGUAUCAGGGCCGAAAAGGUCCUUGAAAUGGGUUAAUAACAGGUCAGUCAUGCCCUUAGAUGUUCUGGGCCGCACGCGCGUUACAAUGGUAUACAUAGAAAGUGCCUUCUUAGGGUGUUUCCGGGGCCGAAAGGUCUUGGUAACCCUUAAUCUGUCCCUUGACUGGGACAGACUAUUGCAAUUAUUGGUCUCCAACGAGGAAUUUUUAGUAGUCACAGGUCAUUAACCUGUGACG